UACGGAAGGCAGCAGUGGGGAAUAUUGCACAAUGGGCGCAAGCCUGAUGCAGCCAUGCCGCGUGUAUGAAAAAGGCCUUCGGGUUGUAAAGUACUUUCAGUCGUGAGGAAGGUGUUAAGGUUAAUAACCUUAGCAAUUGACGUUAGCGACAGAAGAAGCACCGGCUAACUCCGUGCCAGCAGCCGCGGUAAUACGGAGGGUGCGAGCGUUAAUCGGAAUUACUGGGCGUAAAGGGCACGCAGGCGGUUAAUUAAGUUGGAUGUGAAAUCCCCGGGCUUAACCUGGGAAUGGCAUUCAAGACUGGUUAGCUAGAGUCUUGUAGAGGGGGUAGAAUUCCAUGUGUAGCGGUGAAAUGCGUAGAGAUGUGGAGGAAUACCGGUGGCGAAGGCGGCCCCCUGGGACAAAGACUGACGCUCAUGUGCGAAAGCGUGGGGAGCAAACAGGGAUUAGAUACC
rnacentral:rRNA from 1 species